GGUUGACCUCAGAUCAGGUAGGAAUACCCGCUGAACUUAAGCAUAUCAAUAAGCGGAGGAAAAGAAACCAACAGGGAUUGCCCUAGUAACGGCGAGUGAAGCGGCAACAGCUCAAAUUUGAAAUCUGGCCUCACGGUCCGAAUUGUAAUUUGUAGAGGAUGUUUCUGGCGACGUGUCUUCCGAGUUCCCUGGAACGGGACGCCAUAGAGGGUGAGAGCCCCGUCCGGUCGUACACCUAGCCUCUGUGAAACUCCUUCGACGAGUCGAGUAGUUUGGGAAUGCUGCUCUAAAUGGGAGGUAUACGUCUUCUAAAGCUAAAUACCGGCCAGAGACCGAUAGCGCACAAGUAGAGUGAUCGAAAGAUGAAAAGCACUUUGAAAAGAGGGUUAAAUAGUACGUGAAAUUGCUGAAAGGGAAGCGCUUAUGACCAGACUUGGGCUCGGUGAAUCAUCCGGCGUUCUCGCCGGUGCACUUUGCCGUCCCAGGCCAGCAUCAGUUCGCGCCGGGGGAUAAAGGUUUCGGGAAUGUAGCUCCCUCGGGAGUGUUAUAGCCCGUUGCGUAAUACCCUGGCGUGGACUGAGGUCCGCGCUCUGCAAGGAUGCUGGCGUAAUGGUCAUCAGUGACCCGUCUUGAAACACGGACCAAGGAGUCGUCUUCGUAUGCGAGUGUUCGGGUGUCAAACCCCUACGCGUAAUGAAAGUGAACGUAGGAGAGAGCUUCGGCGCAUCUCCGACCGAUCCUGAUGUUCUCGGAUGGAUUUGAGUAAGAGCAUACGGGGCCGGACCCGAAAGAAGGUGAACUAUGCCUGUAUAGGGUGAAGCCAGAGGAAACUCUGGUGGAGGCUCGCAGCGGUUCUGACGUGCAAAUCGAUCGUCAAAUAUGGGCA
rnacentral:rRNA from 1 species